GAGAGAAAGAGGUUUGCCUCGCGCCCCACGCAGCUCCUCCAGCUCUCGCUGUGCAGCCGUCUCUGUGAGCGUCUCCCUCUUAUUGGCAGCAGCUGCAGCAGUGAGCACCUGCCCCUCCAAAGGUCUCUGCACAGCUGAGUGUUAACGGUGCGUCUGACAGAUGUUCAGGAGCUGCAGACAAAAUCAGGCAAAUACCUUUUGAUCUGAAAGUUUCUAUUAAUAAUAAUAAUUCUACUAAUUCUACUA